CUCUGGUUUGAGAGAAUAAUCAGGGCGUAAAGGAG
rnacentral:ncRNA from 1 species